rnacentral:lncRNA from 1 species
AGAUCUUCGUGGAGCGGAUCAGCGGCCGGAGCCUUUGGCGGACUCUGCGUGGACUUGGAGCUCACGGCGUCUUGCGACUUGGAGGCGGAUUCAGAGGACAGGACAGAACACUUGGGACACCGCUAAGGCAGAGCAGCGUUCUCCUCAGCACAGACCUUUGGGGCACUGCCUCGCUUUGGGACAACUCGGGACCGCAUAGACGGGAUCAUGGCACAAGUUGCAGUUUCCACCCUGCCCAUGGAAGAUGAGGAGUCCAUGGAAGAUGAGGAGUCUGUUGAAGAUGAUUCCGUGGAGAGCAGGAUGGUGGUGACAUUUCUCGUAUCAGCUCUCAAGUCCACGGUGAGACCUUCUGUUCUAAUAUGAUAUA